GGGUGUGUUUGGUAACACAAAUAAGCUAGCUUAUAGCUUAUUAUAUGAGCUUAUAAGCUUGUUUCAAAAAAUUAGAGGUGUUUGGUAACAAGCUUUUUAUACUAGCUUAUAGCUUUUUUUCAGAUGCUAUUUCAAGUAGCGUUUGAGCUUAUAGCUUAUAGCUUUUUACACUUUAUUCCAUUUUUACCCUUUAAUUUAAU
rnacentral:lncRNA from 1 species